UAAAAUGCCUUUAAGGCAGGGGUGCCACAGCUGAAGAUUAUCCAGCUAUUAACUGCAGCUUAUUUUAUUAAAUACAUGAACAUGCUAUGAAAAAAGGACAAUUGAUGCUGAAUUUAUAAUAUGGGCCCAAGGCAAGCAGAAUGGAAAAUCAUCGAUUCCCAAUGUCACAUCUAAUUUGUAGAAGAGCCAUUAUCUCUUCACUCACCCUACAUCAAGAAGGGCUUAAAAACAGUGGACCAUGUUACAGUAUUUAAAAUGUAUUGGACUAUCUUGCUGUUAGACUGGAAUGGGCAAUCUACCAUGAGGAUUCCUACGGCCCCUCCAUAAUCCCACCCCUUCAGUUCCUCCUAUUGAGUUUUCCAUGGAAGGAGGGAGGGUAGAAGAAGAGGAAGGAGGACGGUAGAAGGAGGGGAAGAGGACGAGAACAGUGACACCUGGAGAUGAAAAUAGGUUUUUCAGAUCUAGAAGCAUUAAUCCACAAGGAUUUUGUUGCCAAAACAUCUGAAAGGUAACAACUGCAACCCUGCCAGAACAUGAGGAAGAGAAUGCUCUCCGUUGGCACUGAAGGCAAGAUUUUCUGGUAUAGCAGAAGAAAUAAUUACUGCAAUAUUUCUUUCCACAGCCAGCUUUCCCCCUGAAGACAUAUUGCAGUGUGAGAGCUGAUUUAGCAAAGAGGAAAAAAAAAUCUGACAUCAAACAUGUCUGUUUCAAAAUCAUGCACUACUCACCCAAUACGUUUAACUAAAAUGAAGGCUUUUAUGCUUGACAUUGUGAAAGCAAGCUUAUCAUCUGUGAAACUAAUAAAAAUAUUUAUUGUU